CCCGAUACGAUUUCGAAU
rnacentral:snRNA from 1 species